GGACGCCUUGUUGGUGCGGGUGAUCGAGAUGGCGGUUCGUGAUCGCCGAUUGGUGCGCACGCUGCAGUUCGAUCCCGUGGUCGUCCG
rnacentral:tRNA from 1 species